AUUUUAUUUUACAUGAAAGAGCUUCACAGGCUCAAGCAAAUACAACUAGGCAAGGAAGAGUCAUACAUGAAUGAGCAAUUUGCUUUUGGGGGAACACAAUUUUUUCAAAUCUCAGGGGAGCAGAGGCAGGCUUUAGAGAGUAAGGGAGAAAUUGGGGAGAGGUCAGGGACAGAUCAAAAUGAAGUUCCACCUGGCUGAUGGGGAUCAGUUCAACCUUAUAGUUCUCUGGAGGUCCUGGGUAGCUCCAUCUUGCUGUGUCCAAUCAGAAAUAUGAAUUAUGUCAAAGCCCGGAGAUUAAAUUUCCUCUACUUUUGGAAACCCAGACUCACUUCUACACAGUGCUAAGGACAUUAUUGGAGGAUAAUAAUUGUUAAUUCUGUAACAAAAAAAAAAAUAAUCCCAAUAGUUCAAAGCAUUUUAUUAUGGCCCACACCAUCUUUGCUGAAUCCUUGUGCAUCCACAGAUCUGAGAGGUAAACUAUCCUAUAUUCUUCUAAUUUGCUUAUAACAUCAUUCUUUAUGUCUGAAUCAUAAACCCAUUUCAAUCUUUUCAUGGUAUAGGAUGUUAGGUGUGAUUUAAUGCUAUGUUUCUGCCAUACUGAUUUCCAAUUUUCCCAGCAGUUUUUGUCAAAUAGUGAAUUCUUACCCCAAAAGGUGGGGUCUUUGGUUUUGUCAAACACUAGAUGACUAUAGUCAUUGACUAUUUUGUCCUGUGAACCUAACCUAUUCCACUGAUCAGCUACUCUAUUUCUUAGCCUGUACCAAAGGUUUUGAUGACUGCAGAAGCAACAUUUUCAACCACAUUUUCCUAUGGUUAAUAAUUUUCAUUUACCCAUCUCUAAACAAAUUAAGCUGACUUUUUCUAAUUGGCAAUAUCCGUUGAGUUUUUCCUCAAGACUACAAUGACUAUCUUCCAUUUUGUCAGAGAACAAAAUCAAUAGGAAAGAACUUAAAAUGCCAAAAAAAAAAAAAAUUUUUUUUCCUUGUAACUCCCUUGCAACUGCAAAGAGUCUCUUUUUCUGCAUCCUCAGAAAAGGAAAGUAUGGUCCCAUAAAUUAACAAGAAAUGCAAGCUAGGAAACUGUGAUAACAGAUUAAAAACAAACAGAUCUGGUCACUAGGUGACAGAACGUAGAAUGAAGGUUAGGUCAGAUGAUUAAAAAAAGAAAAGUAUUUUAGAAAGGGGACCAUCCCCCACAUACACACAAGAAUAAAAACAACAACCCUGAUCACCCAGCCUGAUGUGGCUCUGGGGAGGGAUUGCACCAGAUGGGUGAUAUUCAGACUAUGUCUUUUAUCCCCAUGACUCCUGUUGGGGAUGUAUCAUUACUCACACGAGGGAGGAGGUCUUCUUGACUCUCACCUUAGAGCUCUCUGCCUUCCCCCAAGUCACGAGUAUAGGGAUCGCUAACAAGACCACCGAAGAUCAUGUCUCAGAGCCUCUACCCCUUUUUAUUGGAGGGCUUUGUGCCUUUUACCAGUGAUCUGCUCCAUAUAUUAUUACAAGCCAUCUUUUCAUUGGAUCUCAAAAGAACCCCUUCUUUGUGCCUUUUGUCCCCAGUACCCUGCCCCUCUAAGAUUGUCUCCAUUCCUUUAGGUCUUUUCCCUUCAACCCCUUCUGACCAUCCCCACUUGUGACGAUUGUGCUAGCACCCAAGAUACCUUAGAAUCAUCUGGAGUCAGGAUAAGCAAAAGUCCUCAGUCUUUAUUCUUGGUCUUUAGGGGCAGAAGUGAAGGGGAUGGAAGUAGGAUCUCUGCAACCACCUUCUUCCUCCUACACCACCCAAGUGCCCCUGGCUAGUCUUACUCCACCCCUUAGUCCCUCCUACAAUCCUCUGUAUACACCAAUCAUCAAGCCAGCACAGGAUAGUGGGAAGGGCCAUUUUCCAAGCACAUGCCCAUAGAGUAGUGUCCAAUCAGUAGUUAGCCUCAAGUGCUCAGCUGUUCUGACCUCAGUGCAGCAACUCAAGAGCUUCAGCCCUCUACAUCUCCCACUUUCUUUUGUUUUAGAACACAGGUGGUCACACCAUCCCAAACUUCUCAGGGAGGUGAGAACCCCCAAAAGGAGAUAAUCACAUCCCUCCUGACUUCUCAGGAAGGGAGAUGAAAAGUACCACAGGGAAGUGGGGAUUGCUAGCAGGUUUCUGGGCUGAAAGGUCUUACUAGAAACAGGUAUGCACAAACCUAUCAGCAUGGGAGGUAUUGCCCAAGCACAUAGCAAUAAUGCUCAGGCUAUUAGUGAUGACUCUCCCCACAGCCAGUGGAGGCUCAAUGUGGUGUAACAAACAUGAAUUGUACAUGCAAGUACUGAUAUAACAGACAAUAUGAAUCAGCAUGGUGUUGUAAAAGAUCGCCAGAAGUUCUAGGAGGAGGGUAUGUAAACAACAGUCACACAUACAUCUUCUUCAGCAGCCAAGAGAUAAUCCAAAACCAGUCUAUUGUCCAUUGCUUCACGAGUCAGGGAAUCCAAUGAUCCCUGCAAGUUUUUGAAGUCCUGCAACAGUCUUAUUAUUUCUCAGAAAAUCCAAUGAUUCCUGAGGGCUUUCAAGUCCUACAACAAUCUUAUGUCUCAGAAUCCAAUGAUUCCUGAGGGUUUUCAAGUCCUACAACAAUCUUAUCAUGUCUCAGAGAAUCCAAUGAUUCCUGAGGAUUUUCAAGUCCUACAACAAUCUUUUCAUGUCUCAGAGAAUCCAAUGAUUCCUGAGGGUUUUCAAGUCCAACAAUUUUUGAUGUCCGUGAGCCAAAUGCCAUAACUGCCACGCUCUUUCAGUGGUGGGCACAAUCAGCAACAAAACCACCCGAUGUUUCUUGGGUCUUCUCCUUCAUUUCAAGGAUCUGCUCCAUUUCUCUGCGAUGGACAAGGCGAAUAUGGCACCCAUCUGAUUUCCUUCUCCACCUGUGGAGAUACAAGCAAACCCUCUCCCCCAAGCAAUUAGCCUAUCUAGUCCCUUCCAUUCACCACUUUCUGGGUCUCUCCACAUCACCUGGUGAUUAUCUAAAGAUAGUGGAGCUGCUUGCACUGGACACUGCUCUUCUGGUAGGUUAUAAAACCUGUCUGCCGGAGCCAGUGCAUCUUUGUCAAAAAUCAAGAAAUUAAUAGUAUAAAGGGCUAGAUAUAGAAGUUCUCUAGGGUUACCUGUGGCUCCCCCUUUCUUUUGUUUUUGGAGGAGCGCCUUAAUGUCUCUGUUUCUCCUCUCUACUAUUGCCUGUCCUUGAGGAUUAAAAGGUAUGCCAGUGGUGUGUAAAAUCUUAUACUGUGUACAAAAGUGUGCAAAAUGUUUAGAAGUAUAUGCAGGUCCAUUGUCUGGUUUUAUUGCUUGUGGCACACCCAUAAAUGCAAAUGCUUGGAUAAGGAAUUCAGUGACCACUCGGGCUGUCUCUUUUGCUACUGGUAUUGCAAAAGUGAAUCCUGAAAAGAUGUCUAUCAUAAUGUGGAUAAAAGACAGGCAACCAAAAGAUUUAUAAAGGAUCACAUCCAUUUGCCAAAUUUCAUUGGGUCUCAAACCACUAGGGUUCUUCCCCUGGAGGCAGUGUAGGAGCAUGGAAAGGAAGGCAAACACCUUAAAUGACUUUCAGAAAUUGAUAGGAGAUAUCCAAUGGAUGUGUCCAGUGUUAGACUUGACUACCUAUCAAUUGCAACCAUUAUAUGACAUUUUAAGGGGAGACAGUGCUUUAAACUUACCAUGCCAGCUUUUCUUAUUGGUGUAAGAGCAGCAGCAACAUACAUUUGACACAUAGUAGGGCUGUUUUUCAUUUCCUGUGGCAAAACUGUCCCUUCAUAUCUUUUAUAAGGCUCAGCUAAGUUAACACUGGGCACUGUAAAGGCAAAUCUUUUCAUAUCCUUAUCUAGAGUGAUAGAAUAAAAACAAUCCUUAAUGUCUACAAUCCAAAGAGGCCAUUGGCCAUUGAGUAGGAGAUGGAAGCCCAGGCUGAAGAACUCCCAUAGUUUUCAUCUGUUUAUUUACCUUUCUUAAAUCAGUCAACAUCUUCCAUUUUCCAGAUUUCUUUCUUACAACAAAUACUGGGGGAUUCUAAGGACUUAGAGAAGGUUGUAAGUGUCCUUGGUCAAGUUGCUCAUGUACUAUACCUAAUAAGGCCUGAAUUUUAUUGCUACCUAAGGGCCACUGUUCUAUCCACACUGGCAUAUCAGUUUUCCCUUGGAUAGGAACAGGUGAAAGUGUUGGCAGGCCUUCAACAGCAGCCCAGCCUAAAAAACCGAGAUACUCAUUUUUAAUCCUAAUUGUUGUAAAAUGUCUCUUCCCCACAGAUUGAUGGGGAUUUUUCAACUACAAAAGGAGUAAAAACUCCUGUUUCACCUUCAAAAGUUCAUCUCAAAGGGGUAGCACUAACUUCAGCUGCUAUUGCUGCUCCUACACCAGACAUAUAGGUGUCUGCCUUAACCUUUGGCCAGGGACUAGGCCAGUUGGCAUCUCUAAUGACUACGAACUGCACCUGUGUCUACCAAUCCUCCUAAUGGUGGACCAUUUAUAUAGAUAGUGAGUAGAGGUCGGUCAGCUGUUACAGCUGCUAUCCAGUAUAUUCUUGGAUUUUGUUGCUUGGAGUCAGAAUCUGGGCAACUAUCACCAGAUUGCUUAUUAGGAGUCUGUAUUAAUAAACCUGAUGUUACUACUUCUCCUGGGUGAUAAGUCACACAUUGUCUACCUGUAUUAGUGACUGGGAUAUUAUCUACACAUUCCCCAGUUUCCCACAUCAGUGUGUGGAUGGACACUGUUUUGUAAGUACUCUCAGGAGGUGAAAUGGUCAAGCCUACUGUGCCUGGAGGCAAGGGAUCCAUAGGCUGGAGAGGAACAGAUUUCACCUAUUCAGGGGGUAUCUCAGUUGUCCCAGCUGCAUACAACUCUAUUCUCCCCAACUGUAAUACCUUUCUCCCAUCAGGUUGCUUACUGACUGAUUGAUUGUGUAAUCCCUUUCUCCCAUCAGGUUGCUUCCUGGAUGAUUGGUCAUUAUCUAGGUAUUGGACUUCUAGGCACUUUCUGGGUGCACUAUUGGCUGCCAUCAUGCCCCAAGUGUUUUUUGCCUGGGGCCCUGGGGCUGGGCCCCUCAUCCUGUUUCACUGAACCUGUCUGUCUACAUUGUGAAGCCCAAUAGAAGCCUCUGUUGCAUUUUGGACAUGGGGUAUUGGGUCUCGUUCUCCCACCCUGUUUUCUCACUCUGUCUCUAUUCCAAUAUUGAGCUUUCAGAUGCCCUACUUUACCACAUUGAAAGCAUUGAUGAGUCUCUCUGCAAGUCCCUUGCCAGAAGGAACCCUGUCUUCUCAUGUUGGGAUCUUGGGAAAUCUGCAUCAUAGUAUGGCUAUAAAAGGCAUUUGUGCCCACUGUGGCACAGAGUCUUAUGAUCUCCUCUAAAGGUGCAUCCUUGUGCAAUCCUAGUAUAAUUCUUCUACAAACCUCAUUAGCAUUUUCCUUAGCCAGUUGUCUUAUCAUGUCUGUUACUGCAUUUUCAACAUUAGUUCUUGUGAUAGCUGUCUGCAAAUGUCCCACAAAAUCAGCAAAAGGUUCAUUUGGCCCUUGUGUUAUUUUUGUGAAGUCCUCAUCCUUGUCGUUUUUACUGGAGAGAGAAGCCCAUGCUUUGAUAGCAGCAGCAGCAAUUUGCUCAUAUGCUGCUAAGGGUUAAUUAAUUUGUACUGAAAUUUCUGCAUAAGAACCUACACCUGUUAGUUGGUCACAGGUGAUUAGAGGAUUAACUCCACUUUGACUAUUUUGUUGGGCUUGUAUCCUACAGAGCUCACUAUAUUCAGAAAGUCACAACUAGUUCUGUCCAUGUUCUAAGCAUGUCCUUGCUAUAGAUUUCCCAUCCCUAAGGGUUAAGACUUCAUAAGCCAAAUUCUGUAAUAACAUCUUAACAUAAGCUGAUGUAGCCCCAUAAAGAGUGCAAGCCUUUUUCAGGUCUUUGAGGAUUUCUAUAUCAAAAGAGCAUAUCUUCUACUUUCUUGACCUGAAGAGUCAAACUGUUGAAUCACAGGAUAAAUUUCUAUUCUCAAAUCAGCUAUAUCCUGCCCUUCUUCUGUGGCUUUAAGUACUGCCUUUUGCAAUCUAGUCAUUUCUGAGGGGAUGAUUUCUGAGGGGGAGGUGCUGGUGGUGUCACAGACCCUCCCACUACUCUUCCCCCCUCCAUCUCGGAAGGUGAAGUUGAUGGGGGUGUGUCAAGAACCAGUUCUAGUUUAGGCAGAGUUGAAGCUGCUUUGUGAGAGUGAGAAUCAUGGUGCCCUUUGUCCUCACUUAACUCCCCAUGCCCUCUGGUGAUACCGCUUUUAAUCCCUCCUUUGUGCUCCUUAUUUUUCUCACACUUCCUCAUCUGGCCAUUCUUAGAAUUUUCCUUUUGUCUAUAACUUGCAGGAUUCUUUAAGGCCAAUUGUAUUAUGUUGUAUGGAUAGAUUGUCUC
rnacentral:lncRNA from 1 species